rnacentral:ribozyme from 1 species
ACUCAACAGAGUGAGUAUAAAAAGGCAUUAUGCUCUGUGCGUCUAGGGGAUUCUUCCUCUAGGGUUGCA